CUUUCUCUUUCACCUAAAAAUAAAAUUAAAAACAUAGUUAAUUGGUGUUAGUAAAAUAAAAUAUAAUUAUAAAAUAUCAAAAUUAACACUUACGAAUUUUCUUUUAUAUUCUGAAACUGGAAUUGAUCCUUUUGUAUGCAACGAGGGACCUAAAUCAUCAUGACUUGAGUUUCUGUUAUCACAAUUAAUUUCCGAUUUAUCUUUAAACUUUUGGGUGUUCCAAUAAGCCAACAACUCAUUCCAAUGAUUCUGAUUGAUCCACUUCGGUAUUAUAUUUUUCUCAUGAAAUUGUUUUCUCGCUUUGUUCAAACUAUUGCUCAAACUUACACUUCAUUUAUGUUCAAAAUGUUUUCUUAUUGUCGUGUGGUCUUCCGCGGGCCAAUAGUACAACUUCUGCAUGUAUUCAAUAUAAAUAACACAUAAAUAAUUUUCAAAUCAUGACCGACAAUGAAUAUUAUAUUAUUUUUAAAGAGAAUUAAAAGUAAUGAGAAGCUCUGAAAUGCAAGACAUGUUUUGUGAAAUAUUAAUUAGACAAACUAAAGUAUUCAAGAUUAUACCAGACUAUAAAAUAUUGUGUUGCACAUAUAUAUAAUGUUAUAUUACUAUGACAAUCACCUUCCACGCUAUCAUAUUCAGCCUACUAUCACUUCGAAAAGAAAAUGCAUAUACAGUAUGUUGAGGUACACUUAGAAAACUCACUCAAGAAAAGUGCAUAAACAUAAAAUGCAGCUUCAACUCAACACCAGUAAUUACUC
rnacentral:lncRNA from 1 species